UGUGUGUACGUGCCGAGGCUGGUUGGUAAAGUAACUCCAAUUUCACUUCAAGGUACCAGUGCAUCUAGUGUCUGCUUCUAUCAAAGCAGGUCAUAUUGGUGUGAAGUGAGCCAUGACUAGUGGUUGUGUUCUGGGAGCAUGCUGUCAUCUGACCAGUCAAGAAACACUGCCUGAGAAUAUGGUAGUGUUUGGCGAGGGCUAUCAGCGUCGAGUGCAAGGUGAUAAACCCACGGCACCGACAUUACAGCUGGACUUCCUAACAAAGAUAUUGCCAAACUACCAUCACCUGUAGGCGUCACAGUCGGCAGCAGCAGCAGCAAUAUCUUGACCAAAGGUAUCCUUGCCCCAUCCACCUUACAUGGCCCUGUGUUGUUUGCUGCAAACCCGCAUUCGCUGAACACGAGG